ACACAUAACCUUUGAAAACAAAGGUGACUAGUAUGUGUGCCCUACCUGUGUGGCACUUAGUAACAAAGUCUGUACAUAUGUAUAAAAUGCGUAUUGACUGGCAUUUAGUACUAUGAAAUUCUGAGCUUAAGCGUCUGCCCCUAGUAGUAUCUAUAGUUAACAAUGCAUAUUGAAAAUACAUAGCUUAAAUAAAAAAAAAUUUAAAUGGUUCAGAAGUGAUUGGAAAUGAGUGUCCCACACCUGCUAUUAUUAAAUUCUUCCCUGGUCCCAGUUGUUCACAUUUGGCUAACAAGGUCCUUGAUUGUCACAGUAUUUUCAAUAAAUGAGCUAUUAUGAACUGCCUGGUGAUAUUUUCAGCAAGAGCAACUAAAAUGUGUAUGGCCUGUGCUAUAUAGCCAUGGAGGAGAUGGGACUGUGCUAAAGCCAGCCAGAAAUGUGGAUGGCAGUGUGGGAACCCAGCAGCUCCAUAGCCAUCAAAAAACGGUCAUAGAAAGAAGUCUCUCAAGGGCCUAUUCUUGGAUUCAGUGUUCCCUCAGAAGCAAUCCUUUAAAUGUAAAUAGUGAAUACUUGCAUGUCUUUGGACAAAAGCUGAGCUACAAUCUAUUAAAAUGCACAAUUUUUGAUAAAAUAUAAAGUGCCCUCUAACAAAAUGUGGUGGAAGGUGUGUGUUAAGAAUACUAUACCUGUUUAACAAUACCAUAUGCUAAAUAAAAAUAGUUUGGAAUUAAUGUU
rnacentral:lncRNA from 1 species